AGGCCACCUGAGAUGUCUUCCUACUCCCCCUCCUGUGUCUACACUAACAAGAUGUCUCUUAACGCCCUGCAGUGUCUACACUGAUCAGGAAUGCCUCUCUGAUUCCUCUGCUGUAUCUACACUGAUCUGGGAUAUCCCUCCAGUUACUCCAGUGUGUUCACACUGAGGCUGUGUAGCUUCCUCACUGUGUCUGCAUGGGCCUGGAUUAUUACCUGAGACCCCCUGAUUUAUGUAUGUGGACCUAGGAUGGUGCUGUGUUUACCCAGGAACGGGGCUGAGUGGGACGGCAGAGACUGGGGUUUGUACCAGCCGUGGCUCAACACCCAGAGGACACCUGGUCUCCAAGCCCCUGCCCUCUGCUCCUGGGGCACUCAGGGCUGGCCAAGGGGCAGGAAGUGUGUCCCUGGGCUUCAUGCACAACUGCCUGAGACCCCAGGUGACUGGCUUGGCAAUAACUGCCCCCGAGUGUGAGUCGGGGCCACGUGACACCCGCGGCUCAGCCCGAGGACGCUCGGCAGAGUGCUCAACUCCUCUGGAAACCUGGCUUUCUACAAAGGCUGUCUUGCCCAUGGGUGUCUGCCCAAGUCAGCAUUCUCCAAGUGCACCCAGGCCACAGGCAAGAGGGACUGGAGCCAGUUCAUAGGGGCCUGCCAGUUACAAAGCGCGUACUGUGGUCUGCCUGCCUAUUACCCAAAGUACAGUAGGUGAGAUCCUGCCAGGUCCCUUGUGUCUUAUUAACCUGAAAUGUGUCUCCCUAAUGCCCCAAGUGUGUACACUAUGAUGUUAAAUGUCUCCAUAAUUCCCCAAAGUGUUGACACUGAACUGGCAUGUUUCCCUAAUUCUCAUGUUUGUCUACACUAACCUGGGAUGUCUCUCUAAUUCUCCAGGAGUGUGUAGUCAAUCUUGGGAUGUCUCAUUAAAUAUCUAUAAAUGUCUA